GACAUGUCCUACAGGCGGCAAACAUGGUUAUGGUAUUUUACGUACAUCAGGUCAGGAUUAACGUGUCGUUCUUGCAUUCACCACACUACACAACCACCUUUGAUCUUGAAUAACAAUGACCCAGGCAAACAACGGAUCUAUGUCCACCUGUCAAAAGUAUCUGCUGCAACCAGGUGAAAUCUGGGUGUGUCCUUAGUCUCCUUUUACCACUGGGAUCCUCACCACUGAGGCACCUAUGUGCUGGAUCAUGCACAGAGAAACGCACCAUGUAGCCAAAAUAUCAUAGCUAGCAUUCACUCUAUUACAUAAGUAAAAUAAAAUUGCUUUUUGUUUGCAUUCAUCCUUUUGAGUUAUGUUAAGCUGCAGGGGAUGGACUCAUUUGUUUGUUAAUUCAAUGAAUUUUGCAGGGUGCAAGAUGGUUCAGUGAGACAUCUAGCUAUAAACAGUUGACAGUGAACACAAACCUCUGCCCAGAGUCUAGACGUAUUCUGUUGAACAUUCACUGUGUGAGACAGGUGACACCCUCGAUGUAUUGCAACAGCCAGCACAUUCAUUCAAAAGUAAGGCUG